rnacentral:rRNA from 1 species
UACGGAGGGUGCAAGCGUUGCUCGGAAUUACUGGGCGGAAAGGGCGUGUAGGCGGCCUCGUAUGUCUGUCGUGAAAGCCCCGGGCUCACCCCGGGAAGUGCGUUGGAAACUGCGAGACUAGAGUCCCGGAGAGGAAGGUGGAAUUCCAGGUGUAGCGGUGAAAUGCGUAGAUAUCUGGAAGAACACCGGUGGCGCAGGCGGCCUUCUGGACGGUGACUGACGCUGAGACGCGAAAGCGUGGGGAGCAAACAGG